rnacentral:rRNA from 1 species
GGUUAAGUCAGGCAACGAGCGAGACCCUCACCUCUAGUUGCCAGCGGGUUCCAUCGGAACGCCGGGCACACUAGAGGGACUGCCGUCGAUAAGGCGGAGGAAGGUGAGGGCUACGGCAGGUCAGUAUGCCCCGAAUGCCCCGGGCUACACGCGGGCUGCAAUGGUAGGGACAAUGGGCUCCAACCUCGAAAGUGGAAGGUAAUCCCCAAACCCUAUCUCAGUUGGGAUUGAGGGCUGAAACCCGCCCUCAUGAACAUGGAAUCCCUAGUAAUCGCACGUCAUCAUCGUGCGGUGAAUACGUCCCUGCUCCUUGCACA